UCUCCCUCCCUUCGUCUCUAACAGGAAGCAAUGGAACGGGAUCCGGACCAUCCGCUCAUCUCCCCCUUCCCCCCAACCCCCCACCCCAUUAAAUAUCUCCCCUCAUCCCCACCCAGCAUGUAUCCAUCUCCCAUCCCACGUGUCCUCCCCCUAUUGCUUCAUCUACAGUAACUCUCUCCCCUGACUGAUUUCUGAAUUCUCAUCUUUCUCCAUCUUCCCGGCGCCCGUCAAUGGUGGUUGUUGGUUUAGGAGUUGGUGUGGGCGUUGGGUCUUCGUUGCCUUCCGGCACGGCCGGCUGGAGCCCUUUGUUCCACUCUUCUCUGCGUCAAAAGCCUCUGACCCAUGUCAAGCAUGUGGGUAAUCGGUUCUACUUCAGUCCGUCCUUGUCUUCAUUGCAUCGUCGACUCCCUCGACUGCCUCCGGUUUUGGCACUUGACUCCGACCUUCCCGGCCCUGUUUAUCGGAGGUCAGAGAAGUUGAAGAGUAGUAAGAGCUUCGAGCAAUGGGAUUCUUUGACGGCCAAGUUCUCGGCUGGGUCGAAUCUUCCGUUUCUGUUACUGCAACUGCCUCAGAUUAUUCUCAAUGCUCGUAAUCUUUUGGCGGGGAAUAAGUCCGCUCUCUUUGCGGUUCCGUGGCUGGGGAUGUUAACAGGAUUGUUGGGCAAUAUAUCACUGCUUUCAUACUUUGCAAAGAAAAGAGAGGCUGAGGCGGUGGUGGUGCAGACAUUGGGAGUGGUAUCAAUAUAUGCGGUGAUUGUUCAGCUGGCAAUGGCAGGAGCAAUGCCUCUGCCUCACUUCACCGUCACUUCCAUUGUGGUGGCUUCCGGUCUUGUUUUGAAUUUUUUGUUUUACUUUGGUUUGCUUAAUUCCACUCUAUGGAACCUUUGGGAAGAUUUCAUUACCAUUGGUGGAGUCUCUGCAUUUCCCCAAGUUAUAUGGUCUACAUUAGUUCCAUUUAUCCCAAACAGUAUUUUGCCAGGGGCUAUAGCUUCUGUCAUUGGUCUUGUGGCCGUUGUUAUGGCACGGACUGGAAAACUUCCAGAGAAAGGGGUCAAAUUUGUUAGAGCAAUAUCUGGAUGGACUGCUACACUUCUCUUCAUGUGGAUGCCAGUUUCUCAAAUGAUGACAAAUUUCCUUAGUCCUGAGAACAUCAAGGGUUUAUCUGCUUUCUCAAUGUUGCUUGCCAUGAUUGGUAAUGGGCUUAUGAUUCCACGUGCACUUUUUAUCCGUGAUUUCAUGUGGUUCCUUGGUUCAUCAUGGGCAUCUAUUUUUUAUGGAUGGGGCAACCUUAUUUGCUUGUACUAUUUCAACAUCAUUAGCCGGGAAUUCUUCUUGGCAGCAACUGUUGGCUUGUAUGCCUGGAUAGGAGUUGCUUUCUGGAGAGACACAAAAGUGUAUGGGUACGACUCUCCACUUGCAUCUAUGAAGGAGUUGCUUUCUGGAUCUUGAUUUUAACAUACUGCUUCUGGAGCUGCCAAUGCUGCUCUUCCACAAGGCUUAAUCUUUUGAAAGCCACUUGGUUCCAAGGCUCCAAACAUGAAAUUUAAUAAUUUAAUAAAUCUUCUCCAAUUCACUGAGACGCCAGCUCUUGAUCGAAGCUGCAGUUGCAGUAUUGAUCUCAAUCACAGUCCUGAAUAAGGAGACCACCAUGAAAAUCUACUCUUCUGCAGGGAGUGUGAGCGGACUAUUUGUUGCACUUCCACAGAAAUACAAUGUUUCAGGACAAGUUUAGUGGUAUUUCAGGGAACAUCUUAAACUGCCAAUAUCAAAGCCUUGGAUUGGUAUUUGAAUUUACAGUGUUCUAUUGAUUCAAUAGCAGACUGGAAAAAUGAAACUUUUGUGAUAUGGUUAUUUUCCCCUUCCCUCU